GCCCGGGCCCCCAACGCCGCGCAGCCCUGUGUCCGCGAUCCCAGGCCAGCCAGAAGAGCCUAGGAAAUGAACGCCUCUUCAGAAAACGCACAUUUCGAGGGCAGUAACGCCAGACCCUUUUUUUAUGUGCACGCCAUGGGCCAGCAGCCUUACCUGAGUCCGUGGUGCCAGAGUCCCACCUAUAAUCCAUUCUCUGUUCCUGGGGCAGGAAACAAAUACUGAGUUCCAGCUCCAUAAAAGAACUAAAUAUUGCAUCAUUAUGGUGGUUUAGAACAUGUGAUUAUCCAUUGAUUUAAUCUAAUAAAGCUGUUACACCAACAAACAAGAAAAUAUGACAUUGUAAAGCCUUUGCAAUUAAAAGAUAUAAAACAGCAAAUAAAUUGAAUUGUGUAUGUGUGUGCUUCUCAAGCAUUUUGUUCCCGUCUCAAAAUGGCCACAUCACUGGUAACACCAACAGAGUUGGGUCAUUCCUGAAUACUUCUGCCAUGUCUAUUACUGUCUUAUAAUCUCAGGGACCUUUAAAUAUGGGGAAAAGGAUGGCAGAGUUGAGGACAGACUAAAUAGACGGAUUCCCCAUGAACAGGAACUACCCUGAAGAGAGAGACGGUACCUUUUUCAUUUUUUAUAAAUGGAAACCAGGCAUAUAGUAGGUCCACUGAUGGCUAUGUCCCAUGGUGGUUUGUAGUAUGUUACUUACUUCCAGUGUAUACUUGUAGAAACAAGGGAAACUUUA